CCGGCGAUUUCCGAAUGGGGAAACCCAGUGUGAUUCGUCACACUAUCAUUAACUGAAUCCAUAGGUUAAUGAGGCGAACCGGGGGAACUGAAACAUCUAAGUACCCCGAGGAAAAGAAAUCAACCGAGAUUCCCCCAGUAGCGGCGAGCGAACGGGGAGGAGCCCAGAGCCUGAAUCAGUGUGUGUGUUAGUGGAAGCGUCUGGAAAGGCGUGCGAUACAGGGUGACAGCCCCGUACACAAAAAUGCACAUACUGUGAGCUCGAUGAGUAGGGCGGGACACGUGGUAUCCUGUCUGAAUAUGGGGGGACCAUCCUCCAAGGCUAAAUACUCCUGACUGACCGAUAGUGAACCAGUACCGUGAGGGAAAGGCGAAAAGAACCCCGGCGAGGGGAGUGAAAAAGAACCUGAAACCGUGUACGUACAAGCAGUGGGAGCCUCUUAAUGGGGUGACUGCGUACCUUUUGUAUAAUGGGUCAGCGACUUAUAUUCUGUAGCAAGGUUAACCGAAUAGGGGAGCCGAAGGGAAACCGAGUCUUAACUGGGCGUUAAGUUGCAGGGUAUAGACCCGAAACCCGGUGAUCUAGCCAUGGGCAGGUUGAAGGUUGGGUAACACUAACUGGAGGACCGAACCGACUAAUGUUGAAAAAUUAGCGGAUGACUUGUGGCUGGGGGUGAAAGGCCAAUCAAACCGGGAGAUAGCUGGUUCUCCCCGAAAGCUAUUUAGGUAGCGCCUCGUGAAUUCAUCUCCGGGGGUAGAGCACUGUUUCGGCAAGGGGGUCAUCCCGACUUACCAACCCGAUGCAAACUGCGAAUACCGGAGAAUGUUAUCACGGGAGACACACGGCGGGUGCUAACGUCCGUCGUGAAGAGGGAAACAACCCAGACCGCCAGCUAAGGUCCCAAAGUCAUGGUUAAGUGGGAAACGAUGUGGGAAGGCCCAGACAGCCAGGAUGUUGGCUUAGAAGCAGCCAUCAUUUAAAGAAAGCGUAAUAGCUCACUGGUCGAGUCGGCCUGCGCGGAAGAUGUAACGGGGCUAAACCAUGCACCGAAGCUGCGGCAGCGACACUAUGUGUUGUUGGGUAGGGGAGCGUUCUGUAAGCCUGUGAAGGUGUACUGUGAGGUAUGCUGGAGGUAUCAGAAGUGCGAAUGCUGACAUAAGUAACGAUAAAGCGGGUGAAAAGCCCGCUCGCCGGAAGACCAAGGGUUCCUGUCCAACGUUAAUCGGGGCAGGGUGAGUCGACCCCUAAGGCGAGGCCGAAAGGCGUAGUCGAUGGGAAACAGGUUAAUAUUCCUGUACUUGGUGUUACUGCGAAGGGGGGACGGAGAAGGCUAUGUUGGCCGGGCGACGGUUGUCCCGGUUUAAGCGUGUAGGCUGGUUUUCCAGGCAAAUCCGGAAAAUCAAGGCUGAGGCGUGAUGACGAGGCACUACGGUGCUGAAGCAACAAAUGCCCUGCUUCCAGGAAAAGCCUCUAAGCAUCAGGUAACAUCAAAUCGUACCCCAAACCGACACAGGUGGUCAGGUAGAGAAUACCAAGGCGCUUGAGAGAACUCGGGUGAAGGAACUAGGCAAAAUGGUGCCGUAACUUCGGGAGAAGGCACGCUGAUAUGUAGGUGAAGUCCCUCGCGGAUGGAGCUGAAAUCAGUCGAAGAUACCAGCUGGCUGCAACUGUUUAUUAAAAACACAGCACUGUGCA
rnacentral:rRNA from 1 species